rnacentral:rRNA from 1 species
UACGUAGGGGCCUAGCGUUGUCCGGAUUUAUUGGGCGUAAAGAGCUCGUAGGCGGUUUGGUGAGUCGGGUGUGAAAUCUCCACGCUCAACGUGGAGGGGCCACCCGAUACUGCCAUGACUAGAGUCCGGUAGGGGAGUGUGGAAUUCCUGGUGUAGCGGUGAAAUGCGUAGAUAUCAGGAGGAAUACCGAUGGCGAAGGCAGGUCUCUGGGCUGACACUGACGCUCAUGCACGAAAGCGUGGGGAGCAAACAGG